rnacentral:rRNA from 1 species
GGAAUCUUGCGCAAUGGGCGAAAGCCUGACGCAGCGACGCCGCGUGAGUGAUGAAGGCCCUCGGGUUGUAAAGCUCUGUGGAGAGGGACGAAUAAGUGUAGGCCAAUACCCUGCAUGAGUACGGUACCUCUUUAGCAAGCACCGGCUAACACUGUUCCAGCAGCCGCGGUAAGACAGAGGGUGCAAACGUUGUGCGGAAUUACUGGGCGUAAAGCGCGUGUAGGCGGCAAGGCAAGUCGGAUGUGAAAGCCCUCGGCUCAACCGGGGAAGUGCACUCGAAACUGCCUAGCUUGAGUCCUGGAGAGGAAGGCGGAAUUCUCGGUGUAGAGGUGAAAUUCGUAGAUAUCGAGAGGAACACCGGUGGCGAAGGCGGCCUUCUGGACAGUGACUGACGCUGAGACGCGAAAGCGUGGGGAGCAAA